rnacentral:rRNA from 1 species
CUACGGAGGAUCCAAGCGUUAUCCGGAUUUAUUGGGUUUAAAGGGUGCGCAGGCGGAAGAUUAAGUCGGCGGUGAAAUUUUGCAGCUCAACUGUAAAAGUGCCAUCGAUACUGGUUUUCUUGAGUGUGGAUGAAGUAGGCGGAAUUUGUGGUGUAGCGGUGAAAUGCAUAGAUAUCACGAGGAACUCCGAUUGCGCAGGCAGCUUACUAGGCCAUAACUGACGCUCAGGCACGAAGGCGUGGGGAUCAAACAGGAUUAGAUACCCUGGUAGUCCACGCAGUAAACGAUGAUUACUCGCUGUUUGCGAUACACAGUAAGCGGCUUAGCGAAAGCGUUAAGUAAUCCACCUGGGGAGUACGUUCGCAAGAAUGAAACUCAAAGGAAUUGACGGGG